rnacentral:tRNA from 1 species
GCCGACUUAGCUCAGCUGGUAGAGCUACUGAAUCGUAAUCAGUGGGUCGUUGGUUCAAAUCCGAUAGUCGGCACCA